GCAUCGGUGGUUCAGUGGUAGAAUGCUCGCCUGCCACGCGGACGACCAGGGUUCGAUUCCCGGCCGAUGCA
rnacentral:tRNA from 1 species